rnacentral:rRNA from 1 species
GUGCCAGCAGCCGCGGUAAUACGGAGGAUGCAAGCGUUAUCCGGAUUUAUUGGGCGUAAAGCGUCCGCAGGUGGUUGAGCAAGUCUGCUGUCAAAGCGCGGAGCUUAACUCCGUAAAGGCAGUGGAAACUGUUUAACUUGAGUACGGUAGGGGUAGCGGGAAUUCCCAGUGUAGCGGUGAAAUGCGUAGAUAUUGGGAAGAACACCAGCGGCGAAAGCGCGCUACUGGGCCUGUACUGACACUGAGGGACGAAAGCUAGGGGAGCGAAAGGGAUUAGAAACCCCUGUAGUCC